UCGGAGGCGUUGUUGGAGGCAUCAGUUCUCGAACCUGGGGUCUUAAAGAGACUCGAGUUUGGGAAUUUUAGGGGACGGCCGGCUCCCAAGCAAAGGGUCCGCAUGUCCCGGGCCGAAACACUCCUCCGGGAACGGGAAAGGAAACGGGCUGCCAGUCUGUUGUAACAGAAAGAUACAGUGGAACUGUGUACGUCGCAGAAAAAGUCAAAUGAAAAAUGUGGGUAUACGUGGAUCAGGAGCUGUCCAAGUUGCCGAGCUUCUCAACACAAAAUAAAGCGGACGAAGUGCCUGUUGAUCACUUUUGCAGCCAACAACCCAAAACUUAGUCUUGAAUUGAUAUAACAGAGGCAGGUGGCCAAUCCGGGAUAGGCUGGCUGCUCUGUCCAUGGUCCUGGGUUUCUCCUAUCUCGGUACUUCAUUCCUGGAGUGUGUUCCCGUCCAUGCUCUCAGAGCCGCUCACACCAUCCCUUUCAGCUCAUAAGAAAGAGAAAAGAGAGAAGUGGAAGUCGAGCAGCUUCCUUUGGAGAAUGUGACCCGGAAGUUGAACACGGCACUUCUGCUCACAGCUCAUUGGUCAGAAUCUAGUCACAUGACCCUACUGAACUGCAAGGGAGCUGGGAAUUAGUGUCUGUUUGGAUAUCCAUGUACCUUUCCAAAAGUGUGGCGGGGGUGGGAUUUUAUGGCUAAAAGGAAGAAUGAAGUAGAAAAGUAACUUGGGGACAAUUAGAAAAAGCAUGGUAAGUUAGUUGCAAAGAUUUUUGGUGACUAAUCUCAUGAAUUUAUAUGUCCUAUAUUAAAAUAAAAUGUAUAUUUUAUUGUGUUAUGGUCAUUACACUUACCUUUAGGUUUGC